rnacentral:rRNA from 1 species
UACGGAGGGUGCAAGCGUUGUCCGGAAUCACUGGGCGGAAAGGGCGCGUAGGCGGCUCAUGAAGGCUGUGGUGAAAGUCCGGGGCUCAACCUCGGAUCGGCCGUGGCGACUCGUGGGCUGGAGCACUGUAGAGGCGGGUGGAAUUCCGGGUGUAGCGGUGGAAUGCGUAGAGAUCCGGAAGAACACCAGUGGCGAAGGCGGCCCGCUGGGCAGUGGCUGACGCUGAGGCGCGAAAGCGUGGGGAGCAAACAGG